rnacentral:rRNA from 1 species
CCUACGUGCAGCUGCAGUGGGGAAUAUUGGACAAUGGGCGAAAGCCUGAUCCAGCCAUGCCGCGUGUGUGAAGAAGGCCUUCGGGUUGUAAAGCACUUUCAGUGGGGAAGAAAGCCUUGGGGCUAAUACCCUCGAGGAAGGACAUCACCCACAGAAGAAGCACCGGCUAACUCCGUGCCAGCAGCCGCGGUAAUACGGAGGGUGCGAGCGUUAAUCGGAAUUACUGGGCGUAAAGCGCGCGUAGGCGGUCUGAUAAGCCGGUUGUGAAAGCCCCGGGCUCAACCUGGGAACGGCAUCCGGAACUGUCAGGCUAGAGUGCAGGAGAGGAAGGUAGAAUUCCCGGUGUAGCGGUGAAAUGCGUAGAGAUCGGGAGGAAUACCAGUGGCGAAGGCGGCCUUCUGGACUGACACUGACGCUGAGGUGCGAAAGCGUGGGUAGCAAACAGGAUUAGAUACCCCAGUAGUC